rnacentral:lncRNA from 1 species
AUUAAUAUUAUUUUCUGCAUCGUAAUCUAGAAAUAUAUUGGGAGCAGUACUAUAAACCAGAUCGAGAGGUUUAAAACUUACCGAGUGCAAAUGUAGCACCAAAACCGAUUGCAAACUUGGGCUUCGUUUGGGAUUACGGAGAGAUUGCAUUAUGUGCGAUGAGAAAGUACGUUCGAAAAAUAUCCUGUUUGUUUUCGUACGUAAUAUUGUGUUCCGCAUAUCGCGAUAAGUCAGUUACUAUAUAUUUUCUGCGGUUUCACCGGAGAACGCAGAAAUACCAAACUAAGCCUUGAUGAGUUUAUAGUAGACGCAUAAUUAAUUAUAAACCGACU